UGUCGUCAGCUCGUGUCGUGAGAUGUUGGGUUAAGUCCCGCAACGAGCGCAACCCUCGCCCUUAGUUGCCAUCAUUCAGUUGGGCACUCUAAGGGGACGUGCCGGUGAUAAGCCGAGAGGAAGGUGGGGGAUGACGUCAAGUCCUCAUGGCCCUUACGGGCUGGGCUACACACGUGCUACAAUGGUGGUGACAGUGGGCAGCGAGACCGCGAGGUCGAGCUAAUCUCCAAAAGCCAUCUCAGUUCGGAUUGCACUCUGCAACUCGAGUGCAUGAAGUUGGAAUCGCUAGUAAUCGCGGAUCAGCAUGCCGCGGUGAAUACGUUCCCGGGCCUU
rnacentral:rRNA from 1 species